UACGUAGGGGGCGGGCGUUAUCCGGAUUUAUUGGGCGUAAAGAGCGCGUAGGCGGCACGGUAGGUUGGGUGUGAAAGGUUCGGGCUUAACUCGAAGAGGUCACCCAAAACCGCCGCGCUUCGAGGGCAGUAGAGGAAGGUGGAAUUCCGGGUGUAGUGGUGAAAUGCAUAGAGAUCCGGAGGAACACCGGUGGCGAAGGCGGCCUUCUGGGCUGGCCCUGACGCUGAGGCGCGAAAGCGUGGGGAGCGAACAGG
rnacentral:rRNA from 1 species